rnacentral:rRNA from 1 species
UACGGAGGAGGCAAGCGUUAUCCGGAAUUAUUGGGCGUAAAGCGUCCGCAGGUGGCUAUUCAAGUCUGCGGUCAAAGACUGGGGCUUAACCCUGGAAAGGCCGUGGAAACUGAAGAGCUAGAGUGCAGUAGGGGUAGAGGGAAUUCCCGGUGUAGCGGUGAAAUGCGUAGAGCUCGGGAAGAACAUCGGUGGCGAAAGCGCUCUGCUGGACUGCAACUGACACUCAGGGACGAAAGCUAGGGGAGCGAAAGGG